UACGUAGGGUGCGAGCGUUGUCCGGAAUUAUUGGGCGUAAAGAGCUCGUAGGCGGUUUGUUGCGUCUAUCGUGAAAACCUGCAGCUUAACUGUGGGCUUGCGGUGGAUACGGGCAGACUUGAGUUCGGUAGGGGGGAGACUGGAAUUCCUGGUGUAGCGGUGAAAUGCGCAGAUAUCAGGAGGAACACCGGUGGCGAAGGCGGGGUCUCUGGGGCCGAUACUGACGCUGAGGAGCGAAAGCGUGGGGAGCGAACAGG
rnacentral:rRNA from 1 species